CCUACGGGAGGCAGCAGUGAGGAAUAUUGGUCAAUGGGCGAGAGCCUGAACCAGCCAAGUCGCGUGAGGGAGUACUGCCCUAUGGGUUGUAAACCUCUUUUGUCGGGGAGCAAAAGCCGGACGUGUCCGGCUGUGAGAGUACCCGAAGAAAAAGCAUCGGCUAACUCCGUGCCAGCAGCCGCGGUAAUACGGAGGAUGCGAGCGUUAUCCGGAUUUAUUGGGGUUAAAGGGUGCGCAGGCGGAUUUUUAAGUCAGCGGUCAAAUCGUGGGGCUCAACCCCAUCCAGCCGUUGAAACUGGGAAUCUAGAGUGUGCGAGAGGUAUGCGGAAUGCGUGGUGUAGCGGUGAAAUGCAUAGAUAUCACGCAGAACCCCGAUUGCGAAGGCAGCAUACCGGUGCACAACUGACGCUCAGGCACGAAAGCGUGGGUAUCGAACAGGAUUAGAUACCCGGGUAGUC
rnacentral:rRNA from 1 species